rnacentral:misc_RNA from 1 species
AAGUCGUAACAAGGUUUCCGUAGGUGAACCUGCGGAAGGAUCAUUAACACGUAUCCAAACGUUAAACCCCCCUGUGAACCUUCAGUCGUACUCGUACGUCCGUUAGAAAAAGCAGCAAUCCCUGGUAAAUCAUCGCCGAACAGUUUUCGAUUCAGGGACGUCUGCAAGGACCCCAAGCAGUUAGUGUCUGAAAGUGUCACUAACGUUAGUGUCUGAAAGUGUCACUAACAUGUGUAAGGAUGACGCAGUCACGAUCGUUGGAGGCCCACACGGCCGACGACCGGGUCACCGGGUGCAAGCCCCCUUAUCACACCCCUGCUCUAUCUAUGGUGAUCCUGCGGGAAGUCCUGCGGUCGAACGCCGAAACCGAACAACUGUUAACAAUGGAUAUCUUGGUUCUC